UUUAGCUGCUUGUUGAAAGUACUCGAGUCCAAAGAAGGAAAAUGCGAUAACGAUGGUGCAGGUUCUUAGCUUAAACCUUCCCAGUUCCUGCACCCGACCCCAACCAAUUGGUAUCCGAUUCCACAACAAGACCAGCGAGCCAAAUGGAAAACACAGCUGGAUUUCUCUGCGGCAGGAACUGAAGUGCAAAGGCAAGUUCACUUGCCUUUUUUCAGGCGGUAGCAGCAGCAGAGAGGAACAAGCUAGGAAAGCAUUAGAAAGUGCACUUGGAGGAAAGAAAAAUGAAUUUGAGAAAUGGAAUGAGGAAAUUAAGAAGAGAGAGGAAGCAGGUGGUGGGGGAGGUUCUGGUGGAGGAGGCUGGUUUGGAUGGGGUGGACGAUUUGGCUGGUCCAAUGGUGACAAUUUCUGGCCAGAAGCACAGCAAACAAGUCUUACCAUCCUAGGUAUUGUUGCCAUGUAUCUUGUGGUUGCAAAAGGUGAAGUGAUGUUUGCAGUCAUCAUUAAUCCUUGGCUGAAUGCUUUGCGAGGAACAAGAAAUGGGCUCACUUUUGUAUCAUCAAAAAUCUUGAAAAAGAUAUCUCCAGAUUCUCCUGCUGAUUUUGUUGAUUCAUCAAAGAAGGAAGUUUAUAUUCAGGUCUCUGCUAAAGAGAGAGUUUUAAGAAAAUGGGGAAGUGAUUGAUCGGUUAUCUAAGGUUUGCACAUCUUUUCAUAUUUUCACCCCUCCUUGUGUCAGUAGUGUGGCAAUUGUGCUUAUUUUGUUUAUGAAAUUACUCUGAACCACUGCAUAGUGCUUAUUUUGUAAGAGCAUCUCAAUUCCGUACUUUGUUUUUGAAAUCUCAAAAUAUUCUGGUCACUGGAAUUUGAAGAAGAAAUCUCCCUCCCCUUCCUUUUUCAUUGGGAACAGUUGGUAAGGUUCGAUGAAAUGCGCAAGGAAAUCAAUGUUUAUGUUCAAUUAAUUUUAAUUUUCUCCCCCAUAAUAGGAACAUUGAAGAUUGUUUCCAUGUUACAACAAAUGAAAAUGGACAUGUAUUCUCA
rnacentral:misc_RNA from 1 species